CUUGAAGGUAAAGAAGUUCUAUGACGUAUCAUGAACUUUUGCCACGGGAUAUUCUUCCAUGAGGGAAACAGAUAAGCAAGAGAAGGACUUGUAAGCUCGACUCAAGGAUACUGCCCCUGACUGGAAAACUCAUAGGAUGAGAUAAUUUGUGAAGCCCGGUUGUGAUUGUGAGCCUGUGGAGGCACACGCUCAGCCCACGGUCGUUGAGUUUGAGUACGGGACAGCUGCUGCAGGCGGGGUGAUGAGGUGGGCCAUAUCGUGCCAGCUGAAACCCUCCCAGUCUGCGGGAUACCACGGUCAGUAUUGGCACCAUCAGGAUUGGUGCCUUCAUGGAAAGGACCACUUGAAGAGACCCAACAUGUACAUUAUUCCAUUGGUUGAUUUGAUUUGUUUGGUUCAGAUGAACAAGUGCCCAAAGACCUAGAACAGCUUUAAUAGGCGGCUCAAGCCUUUGAGGGACGGUACAGAAACUGAGCACACAUUUCAGAAUGAGGCGGGCAGGUUUGUGUGGAGAUACGCUUAUGUUAAUUUGAACUGAACAUGGAAGAUGAUAUUAACAAGGUAUUAACCGGAUUAACCUGACAUGCAGAUUAAAGUGAGUCCUCCUAAAUCAGAUGACGAGUGGUGGUAUCAGAGUCACAGUGAAAUGUACUUCCUCUGAUACACGGUAAUUAAUUACUCUUAGUUUGCAUUUGGUUUACAUCUCUAAACUGAAACAUUUUCAGAGUAAAUGUGUGGUUUUUGCCUCCCUGAUCUCGCACAUGCAUCUGUGGUUUAUGGGCUACUUGCAUA